AGCGAACGCUGGCGGCAAGCUUAACACAUGCAAGUCGAACGAUGUAGCAAUACAUAGUGGCGGACGGGUGUCAAACACGUGGGAAUCUGCCUUUAGGUACGGAAUAACUCAGGGAAACUUGGGCUAAUACCGUAUAAAAUCUCCGGAUCAAAGAUUUAUCGCCUAAAGAUGAGCCCGCGGUUGAUUAGCUAGUUGGUGGGGUAAUGGCCUACCAAGGCGACGAUCAAUAGCUGGUCUUAGAGGAUGAUCAGCCACACUGGGACUGAGACACGGCCCAGACUCCUACGGGAGGCAGCAGUGGGGAAUAUUGGGCAAUGGGCGAAAGCCUGACCCAGCUAUGCCGCGUGAGUGAUGAAGGACUUCGGGUUGUAAAGCUCUUUUAGGUGGGAAGAUAAUGACGGUACCACCAGAAAAAGCCCCGGCUAACUUCGUGCCAGCCGCCGCUGUAA
rnacentral:rRNA from 1 species